rnacentral:rRNA from 1 species
ACUCAAAUGAAUUGACGGGGACCCGCACAAGCAGCGGAGCGUGUGGUUUAAUUCGAGGCUACGCGAAGAACCUUACCAGGGAUUGACAUGACGGUGGUAGUGAAGCGAAAGCGGAACGACCCUUCGGGGAGCCGCCACAGGUGAUGCAUGGCUGUCGUCAGCUCGUGCCGUGAGGUGUUUGGUUAAGUCCACUAACGAGCGCAACCCUUAGCGCCAGUUACACGUGUCUGGCGCGACUGCCGGUAUUAAGCCGGAGGAAGGUGGGGAUGACGUCAAGUCAGCAUGUCCUUUAUACCCUGGGCUACACACACGCUACAAUGGUCAGUACAGUCGGUUGCCAAGCCGCGAGGCGGAGCCAAUCCACAAAAGCUGAUCUCAGUUCGGAUUGCAGGCUGCAACUCGCCUGCAUGAAGUCGGAGUUGCUAGUAACCGCCGGACAGCUAUACGGCGGUGAAUACGUUCCCGGGUCUUGCACACACCGCCCGU